CGUCGUAUNCAGCUUCUGCGUCGGCGAUGUAGAGCUUGCUCUUGAGUGCGGCGGACGGGUGAGUCACGUGGGUCCUGCCCAUGACUGGGAUAACUCCGGGAAACCGGGGCUAAUACCGGAUAACAUUUUGCACUGCAUGGUGCGAAAUUGAAAGGCGGCUUCGGCUGUCACUUAUGGAUGGACCCGCGUCGCAUUAGCUAGUUGGUGAGGUAACGGCUCACCAAGGCAACGAUGCGUAGCCGAUGCUGAGAGGGUGAUCGGCCACACUGGGACUGAGACACGGCCCAGACUCCUACGGGAGGCAGCAGUAGGGAAUCUUCCGCAAUGGACGAAAGUCUGACGGAGCAACGCCGCGUGAGUGAUGAAGGCUUUCGGGUCGUAAAACUCUGUNGUUAAGGGAAGAACAAGUUGCUAGUUGAAUAAGCUUGGGCACCUUGAAUGGUACCUAAACCAGGAAAGGCCACGAGCGUAAACUACGUGCCAGCCAGCCGCGGGUAAAUACGUAGGUGGCCAGCGUUAAC
rnacentral:rRNA from 1 species